GACGAACGCUGGCGGCGUGCUUAACACAUGCAAGUCGAACGGUGAAGCGCCUUCCUUUUUGGUGGGUGUGGAUGAGUGGCGAACUGGUGAGUAACACGUGAGUAACCUGCCCCCUUCUUCUGGAUAACCGCAUGAAAGUGUUGCUAAUACGGGAUAUUCUGUGUCUGUCGCAUGAUUGGUCUGGGAAAGAUAUUGUUUCUGUUGGGGAUGGGCUCGCGGCCUAUCAGCUUGUUGGUGGGGUGUUGGCCUACCAAGGCGGUGACGGGUAGCCGGCCUGAGAGGGUGGACGGACACACAGGGACGGAGACACGGGCAAGACUCCGACGGGAGGCAGCAGUGGGGAAUAUUGCACAAUGGGCGAAAGACUGAUGCAGCGACGCCGCGUGAGGGAUGGAGGCCUGCGGGUUGUGAACCUCUUUCGCCAGUGAAGCAGGCCUGCCUCGUUUGUGGGUGGGUUGACGGUAGCUGGAUAAGAAGCGCCGGCUAACUACGUG
rnacentral:rRNA from 1 species